rnacentral:rRNA from 1 species
GUCAAUGCUCGGAAGAGUGAACUAGCUAACUGAAAUCUUAAAAUCAUUGUAUCAAUGGUUCUUGAGAUAACGUAAGGGAUAAAAAUGAUAGUACCUUACUAUAAGUGUUGUCCAACUAUACUGGUGCCAGAAGACUCGGUAACGCCAGAAACGCAAACGUUAGUCGUCUUAAUCAGGCGUAAAGGGUAAGUAGGCUGCUUUGAAAGUUGUUAAUUAAAAAGCUCUUUUUUAAAGUAAUUAAUAAUGAAUUAAAGCUAGAAUCAAAUAGGGGAUAAGCCAAAUAAUAUUUAGUGUAAGGCUAAUACUUUAGAUACUAAAUGGAAUACUAAGGUUAAAACUUUUAUCUAUUAAUGAUUGACGCUGAGGAAGGAAGGUGAGAAUGGAAAACGAGGAUUAGGGCCCC